ensembl:lncRNA
ACCGCUAUACCCAUGUGACUGAAGUCCCGCCCUCGCUCUCACCGCUAUACCCAUGUGACGGAAGUCCCGCCCUCACUCUGACCGCUAUACCCAUGUGAUGGAAGUCCCGCCCUCACUCUCACCGCUAUACCCAUGUGACUGAAGUCCCGCCCUCGCUCCCUCCUCUCCAGUUCCAAGAGAGGAGUAGAGGGUACAGGUAGGGGUAGAGGUAGUGGUAGAGGUAGUGGUAGAGGUAGUGGGAGAGUGUUAGUUGGCAGCAGUAGGGGCUGGAUGUAGGGGUUCUGAUAGCGGUUGGCUCCAAGUGUCCAGGUCACUCUCGGUCACUCUCGGUCACUAUCGGUCACUCUCGGUCACUCUCGGUCACUCUCGGUCACUA